AUUUAGAGAAAAUUGCAACUUUGGGCCCAAAGGUUUGAAUAAUUAAAUUCAAACCUAUAGUUUUUUUUAAUAUAAUUUUGGGACUCACAAUCCCAUUUUUAUAUUAUUUUUCUCUCUUCCUCUCACGUUGCUCGGCGUUUUCUCGCAAGGGGGGUUAUUUUCUUUUUUCUUCAGAUUAUAUUGACAAAGAUAGUGGUGAAAAAGGAGUUGUGAAGGGGAACUUGUUAUUCAAGACACAAGGAGCGAAUCCGGCCGAGAAAGCACCAGAGGUGUAAUUAUGGUGUAUGAGACACCAUCUUUUACGUUGCCUCUUAUUUUGGAUUAUACAAUGUAUCUUGU